UGGGGAAUAUUGGGCAAUGGGCGCAAGCCUGACCCAGCGACGCCGCGUGGGUGAUGAAGGCCUUCGGGUCGUAAAGCCCUGUCGGGUGGAAAAAACGGCCUGGGUGCGAAUAGCCCCCAGGUGUGACGGUACCACCGAAGGAAGCACCGGCCAAUUCCGUGCCAGCAGCCGCGGUAAGACGGAAGGUGAAAGCGUUGCUCGGAAUCACUGGGCGUAAAGGGUGCGUAGGCGGCUGUGCAAGUCUGGCGUGAAAGCCCCGGGCUCAGCCCGGGAAGUGCGCUCGAAACUGCGCAGCUCGAGUGCCGGAGGGGAGAGUGGAAUUCCUGGUGUAGCGGUGAAAUGCGUAGAUAUCAGGAGGAAUACCGGUGGCGAAAGCGACUCUCUGGACGGCAACUGACGCUGAGGCACGAAAGCGUGGGGAGCAAA
rnacentral:rRNA from 1 species